GAUGAACGCUAGCUACAGGCUUAACACAUGCAAGUCGAGGGGCAGCAUGGUCUUAGCUUGCUAAGACUGAUGGCGACCGGCGCACGGGUGAGUAACACGUAUCCAACCUGCCGUCUACUCUUGGACAGCCUUCUGAAAGGAAGAUUAAUACAAGAUGGCAUCAUGAGUCCGCAUGUUCACAUGAUUAAAGGUAUUCCGGUAGACGAUGGGGAUGCGUUCCAUUAGAUAGUAGGCGGGGUAACGGCCCACCUAGUCUUCGAUGGAUAGGGGUUCUGAGAGGAAGGUCCCCCACAUUGGAACUGAGACACGGUCCAAACUCCUACGGGAGCAGCAGUGAGGAAUAUUGGUCAAUGGGCGAGAGCCUGAACCAGCCAAGUAGCGUGAAGGAUGACUGCCCUAUGGGUUGUAAACUUCUUUAUAAGGAAUAAAGUCGGGUAUGUAUACCCGUUUGCAUGUACUUUAUGAAUAAGGAUCGGCUAACUCCGUGCCAG
rnacentral:rRNA from 1 species